UACGUAGGGUGCGAGCGUUGUCCGGAAUUACUGGGCGUAAAGAGCUCGUAGGUGGUUUGUCGCGUUGUUUCGUGAAAACUCACAGCUUAACUGUGGGCGUGCGGGCGAUACGGGCAGACUGGAGUACUGCAGGGGAGACUGGAAUUCCUGGUGUAGCGGUGGAAUGCGCAGAUAUCAGGAGGAACACCGGUGGCGAAGGCGGGGUCUCUGGGGCAGUAACUGACGCUGAGGAGCGAAAGCGUGGGGGAGCGAACAGG
rnacentral:rRNA from 1 species